rnacentral:rRNA from 1 species
CGCGUAGGCGGUUAUUUAAGUCAGAUGUGAAAUCCCUGGGCUCAACCUAGGAACUGCAUUUGAUACUGGAUAACUAGAGUGUGGUAGAGGUGAGUGGAAUUUCAGGUGUAGCGGUGAAAUGCGUAGAGAUCUGAAGGAACAUCAGUGGCGAAGGCGACUCACUGGGCCAUUACUGACGCUGAGGUGCGAAAGCGUGGGUAGCAAACA